UGGGGAAUUUUGGACAAUGGGCGCAAGCCUGAUCCAGCCAUGCCGCGUGCGGGAAGAAGGCCUUCGGGUUGUAAACCGCUUUUGUCAGGGAAGAAAAGGUUCUGGCUAAUACCUGGGACUCAUGACGGUACCUGAAGAAUAAGCACCGGCUAACUACGUGCCAGCAGCCGCGGUAAUACGUAGGGUGCAAGCGUUAAUCGGAAUUACUGGGCGUAAAGCGUGCGCAGGCGGUUAUGCAAGACAGAGGUGAAAUCCCCGGGCUCAACCUGGGAACUGCCUUUGUGACUGCAUGGCUAGAGUACGGUAGAGGGGGAUGGAAUUCCGCGUGUAGCAGUGAAAUGCGUAGAUAUGCGGAGGAACACCGAUGGCGAAGGCAAUCCCCUGGACCUGUACUGACGCUCAUGCACGAAAGCGUGGGGAGCAAACAGGAUUAGAUACCCUGGUAGUCCACGCCCUAAACGAUGUCAACUGGUUGUUGGGAGGGUUUCUUCUCAGUAACGUAGCUAACGCGUGAAGUUGACCGCCUGGGGAGUACGGCCGCAAGGUUG
rnacentral:rRNA from 1 species